CGCUGGCGGCGUGCUUAACACAUGCAAGUCGAACGGAAAGGCCCUGCUUUUGUGGGGUGCUCGAGUGGCGAACGGGUGAGUAACACGUGAGUAACCUGCCCUUGACUUUGGGAUAACUUCAGGAAACUGGGGCUAAUACCGGAUAGGAGCUCCUGCUGCAUGGUGGGGGUUGGAAAGUUUCGGCGGUUGGGGAUGGACUCGCGGCUUAUCAGCUUGUUGGUGGGGUAGUGGCUUACCAAGGCUUUGACGGGUAGCCGGCCUGAGAGGGUGACCGGCCACAUUGGGACUGAGAUACGGCCCAGACUCCUACGGGAGGCAGCAGUGGGGAAUAUUGCACAAUGGGCGGAAGCCUGAUGCAGCAACGCCGCGUGCGGGAUGACGGCCUUCGGGUUGUAAACCGCUUUCGCCUGUGACGAAGCGUGAGUGACGGUAAUGGGUAAAGAAGCACCGGCUAACUACGUGCCAGCAGCCGCGGUGAUACGUAGGGUGCGAGCGUUGUCCGGAUUUAUUGGGCGUAAAGGGCUCGUAGGUGGUUGAUCGCGUCGGAAGUGUAAUCUUGGGGCUUAACCCUGAGCGUGCUUUCGAUACGGGUUGACUUGAGGAAGGUAGGGGAGAAUGGAAUUCCUGGUGGAGCGGUGGAAUGCGCAGAUAUCAGGAGGAACACCAGUGGCGAAGGCGGUUCUCUGGGCCUUUCCUGACGCUGAGGAGCGAAAGCGUGGGGAGCGAACAGGCUUAGAUACCCUGGUAGUCCACGCUGUAAACGGUGGGUACUAGGCGUGGGGUCCAUUCCACGGGUUCCGUGCCGUAGCUAACGCUUUAAGUACCCCGCCUGGGGAGUACGGCCGCAAGGCUAAAACUCAAAGGAAUUGACGGGGCCCCGCACAAGCGGCGGAGCAUGCGGAUUAAUUCGAUGCAACGCGUAGAACCUUACCUGGGUUUGACAUGGAUCGGGAGUGCUCAGAGAUGGGUGUGCCUCUUUUGGGGUCGGUUCACAGGUGGUGCAUGGCUGUCGUCAGCUCGUGUCGUGAGAUGUUGGGUUAAGUCCCGCAACGAGCGCAACCCUUGUUCACUGUUGCCAGCACGUUAUGGUGGGGACUCAGUGGAGACCGCCGGGGUCAACUCGGAGGAAGGUGGGGAUGACGUCAAGUCAUCAUGCCCCUUAUGUCCAGGGCUUCACGCAUGCUACAAUGGCUGGUACAGAGAGUGGCGAGCCUGUGAGGGUGAGCGAAUCUCGGAAAGCCGGUCUCAGUUCGGAUUGGGGUCUGCAACUCGACCUCAUGAAGUCGGAGUCGCUAGUAAUCGCAGAUCAGCAACGCUGCGGUGAAUACGUUCCCGGGGCUUGUACACACCGCCCGUCAAGUCAUGAAAGUUGGUAACACCCGAAGCCGGUGGCCUAACCGUUGUGGGGGAGCCGUCGAAGGUGGGACUGGUGAUUAGG
rnacentral:rRNA from 1 species